UGGGGAAUAUUGGACAAUGGGCGCAAGCCUGAUCCAGCAAUGCCGCGUGGGUGAAGAAGGUCUUCGGAUCGUAAAGCCCUUUCGACGGGGACGAUGAUGACGGUACCCGUAGAAGAAGCCCCGGCUAACUUCGUGCCAGCAGCCGCGGUAAUACGAAGGGGGCUAGCGUUGCUCGGAAUUACUGGGCGUAAAGGGCGCGUAGGCGGUUGCUUUAGUCAGGCGUGAAAUUCCCGGGCUUAACCUGGGGACUGCGCUUGAUACUGGGUGACUUGAGGGUGGAAGAGGGUCGUGGAAUUCCCAGUGUAGAGGUGAAAUUCGUAGAUAUUGGGAAGAACACCGGUGGCGAAGGCGGCGACCUGGUCCAUUACUGACGCUGAGGCGCGACAGCGUGGGGAGCAAACAG
rnacentral:rRNA from 1 species